ACCUGGGAGUAAAAUUUAAAUGCUUGAAUAUUAAUAGUUAUAUUCUUUAAAAUCAAAGAAUUUGGCGGUAUUUUAGUCUUGUUAGAGGAACUUGUUCUAUAAACGAUAAAACACGCAGAAUCUUACUUAUCUUGGUAAAUUUUACAGUUUGUAUACCGUCAUUAUUAAAUAAUCUUGAAAAAGUUAAUUAUUGGGAUUAAAAAAUUAAAUAUAUUAGAUCAAGGUGCAGCUGAUAGAUAAGUAGAAAUGAGUUACAAUAAUAUUUAUUUAUAACGGAUUGAAAAUAGAACUAUUUUUAAAGAAGGUGGAUGUAAUUGUAAAAAAAGUUUAAUAAGCUUUUUUGGUAUAAGCUCUAAAUUAUGUACAUAUCGCCCGUCACUUUCAUUUAAAAU
rnacentral:rRNA from 1 species